CUUCUAAGACUAAGCCAUGCAUGCCUUCGAAUAGAAGAGCUUUCUCUCUGAAUCUGCGUACGGCUCCGCAAACCAGUUGUAAACCAUAGCAAGCAGACCUUGGGAACGGAGCAAUCCGUUCCCUUGGUCAUAGGGAUAACCCUGGUAAUUCUGAGGCUAAUACAAGAUCGUACCACCUGGCGAACCGGGCGACUGGUGAGCUGGGGUACGUGUGGAACGUCGCAUUACCAGUGGGAGAAGUCACACGCUCUGACCAUCACACAAAUGUUCCCGGUUGGACCGCCCCUCGGGGUGGCUCGGCUGGGUGCAGGUGGCUCUUGCAACGUGCUUCUGACCUAUCAACUAGAUGGCAGCGUAAGGGACAUGCUAUGGUGACAACGGGUACAGAGGAUAAGGGUUCGAUCCUGGAGAGUGGGCCUGAGAGAUCGCUCACACUUCUAAGGAAGGCAGCAGGCGCGCAACGUUCCCAGUGGACAUCGUCCGAGGGCGUUAGGGGAAAUAUGAAUGUCUGCCAUAUGGUGGACAAUUCAAAUGGGUUCGUUCUAAACAACCCUUCGAGUAACAAUUAGAGGACAAGUCUGGUGCCAGCACCCGCGGUAAUUCCAGCUCUAAUAGCAUACGUUAAAGUUGUUGCGGUUAAAACGCUCGUAGUCGGCAUAAGAUCUUCUGAUGCCCUUGUCUCGGUCGUCGGGUCAGUCGCUCCUCGGAGCACGCCGAUGACCAGCUCGGGUUGACGUCGGUCGAACGGACCUCAGGCUGUCUCUCCGGAGUCACAGGGUUUGGGUGGGGCAACCCGCUCAGGCUCGGCCUGGGUCUCAAUUACCAUGACCAAACUGGCGUGAUCAAAGCAUGUCUUUCGACACGUACAGCGCAGCAUGGUAUAAAGCUAACCGGUCUUCGCCUGAAUGCGGGGGCAAGGCCGGUAGCAGCGAAAGGGAUGUUCGAGGGUGACCGAAUUGCCGGGCGAGUGGUGAAAUACGUUGACCCUGGCAAGUCGACCAAAGGCGAAAGCAGUCAUCAAGGGCAUACCCGUUGAUCAAGAGCGAAAGUUAAGGGUUCGAAGACGAUCAGAUACCGUCGUAGUCUUAACUAUAAAUGAUACAGACCAGGGAUUGGACACUGUCCAUCUCGACUCCUUCUGGACCUCAGAGAAAUUACAGUCUUUGGGUUCUGGGGGGAGUAUGGUCGCAAGGCUGAAACUUAAAGGAAUUGACGGAAGGGCACACAAAGAGUGGAACCUGCGGCUUAAUUUGACUCAACACGGGAAAACUCACCAGGUCCGGAUACACGUAUGAAAGUCAAGCUGAAAGACUUUACUCAAUGAUGUAAGUGGUGGUGCAUGGUCGUUCUUAGUUCGUGGAUUGAUUUGUCUGGUCUAUUCCGAUAACGAGCGAGACCCCAACGUUCCUAAUAGGGGCAAUGGCCCGACUGGUCGCAAGACCGGUCAGCCGUCGCUUAAGAUUAACUUCUUAGACGUAUCGAAGCCGAUAAGGUUCUUGAAAUGGGUUAAUAACAGGUCAGUCAUGCCCUUAGAUGUUCUGGGCCGCACGCGCGUUACAAUGGUUUGUAAAGAGAGUGCUUCUCAUAAGGCGUAACCGAGACCGAAAGGUCUCGGUAACCCUUAAACCCAGCCUUGACUGGGACAGAUCAUUGUAAUUAUUGGUCUCAAACGAGGAAUUUUUAGUAGUCACGGUUCAUUAAACCCUGUCGAAUGGGUCCCUGCCCUUUGUACACACCGCCCGUCGCUGCUACCGAUUGGAUUUUACAGUUACGCGUUCGGAGGGCGUGGCCUUCCGCUUGCUUUCGGCAAGUGGGGCCGUGCUGAAGUCCUAAGUACUGUACGGCUAAAGAAGCAAAGUCGUAACAGGUAAUC
rnacentral:rRNA from 1 species